rnacentral:rRNA from 1 species
AUACAGAGGGUGCAAGCGUUAAUCGGAUUUACUGGGCGUAAAGCGCGCGUAGGUGGCUAAUUAAGUCAAAUGUGAAAUCCCCGAGCUUAACUUGGGAAUUGCAUUCGAUACUGGUUAGCUAGAGUAUGGGAGAGGAUGGUAGAAUUCCAGGUGUAGCGGUGAAAUGCGUAGAGAUCUGGAGGAAUACCGAUGGCGAAGGCAGCCAUCUGGCCUAAUACUGACACGGAGGUGCGAAAGCAUGGGGAGCAAACAGGAUUAGAUACCCUGGUAGUCCAUGCCGUAAACGAUGUCUACUAGCCGUUGGGGCCCUUGAGGCUUUAGUGGCGCAGCUAACGCGAUAAGUAGACCGCCUGGGGAGUACGGUCGCAAGACUAAAACUCAAAUGAAUUGGCGGGG